UUUUUAAAAUUAAUUGUAAAAUUAAAAUAAAAGAGCCUCAUUUUUAAUCCAAACCGUUGAUCUCUAGUCUUCAAUCUCAGCCUUACAUCUAUUUAAAAAUCAACAAUAUAGAUCAAAAUAAUUGGUUUACCUAUUUUAAACUACCAAGAGCAAAACCCUAAAAAGAAUUCCACUCCCCACCCUUCACCAUAGCAGCGGCUCCCGCUAUCUCUUCUCCUCCCCUCCUCAUCGCUGCUUUCCUUUUCUCCCCCAGCGAGAAAUAAUAGCCAGAAGCUCCAGCUAGCAGGCUUUAUCGACGGAAACAACAAGCUCCAGCCAGCGAGCUCAAGGCAGCGUCACCUCUUUCUCUCUUUCGACAAAGACGAGAAAACAACAACAUCGGGAGUCAGCGAUAUCCCUAGCGCCUCCCUCCAUUCUUUUCACUUUUCCAGCAGCUCCAGCGAUGACCAAUAGCAGGACGGAGAUGGCCAUCGUCUGGUCUUCUCUUUUCCAUUCUCCGAUCAGCGAGUUACGAGGAAGCAACUCCGACGCAGCCACCUUCUCCUCCGAAGAGGCAAUUUCUAUCAGACAUGACUAUCAAUAUUUCUAUCCUAAUUUUUGGCACAAUUGAAUUUGAUUUGAAGAAAAUCGCAUCACUGAUUGAAGGUGGAGCAUAUACAAGUGAAGUGCAGAAGAUAUAAAGGCCUAUGAGAUUGACCAUGAAACUCAGGAGCAAACUAAAGGCUUCAGUACUUUCUACUUUUUGGGCUAAUUUUGUGAACUUGAAUGAAUGCCAAUUCUUGAACAUUCUAGGAUUAUUUUUAUGUUUAGGCUUAAUUUUUGUGAACAUCAAUGUAUGUUAACUCUUGAAUUGUAAAUCAAGAUCAUGUGUACUUAUCUUUAAUAGAUGGAUGUGACUAGUUGAAGUACAUAUUGGUUUAAUAUUUCUAUCAUUAUAUUAUAGUUUACCAUUUAGAAAGUCUAUUGCAAUAGUUUAAUAACAUUGUUGCAAUAGUUUAGAAGAACUGUUGUAAUAGAGUAGAUCGAGUUGUAUAAUAAAGUUGUUGUUAUAGGUCUUUUA